rnacentral:tRNA from 1 species
GGAUGCAUAACUCAGUCGGUAGAGUACCUGGCUCUUAACCAGGGAGUCGGGAGUUCGAGCCUCCCUGCAUCCACCA